rnacentral:rRNA from 1 species
AACGAACGCUGGCGGCAUGCCUAACACAUGCAAGUCGAACGAGCCCUUCGGGUCUAGUGGCGCACGGGUGCGUAACGCGUGGGAACCUGCCCUCAGGUUCGGACUAACUCCCCGAAAGGGGUGCUAAUACCGGAUAAUGUCUUCGGACCAAAGAUUUAUCGCCUCUGGAUGGGCCCGCGUUGGAUUCGCUAGUUGGUAGGGUAAAAGCCUACCAAGGCGACGAUCCAUAGCUGGUCUGAGAGGAUGAUCAGCCACACUGGGACUGAGACACGGCCCAGACUCCUACGGGAGGCAGCAGCAGGGAAUCUUCCGCGAGGGGGGAGAGCGUGAUGGUGCAACGCGGGGGGAGUGAUGAAGGUCUUAGGACCGUAAAACUAUGAAAUUCGGGAAGAAGAAAAGCGUAAUUAACCAGGAACAUAAUGACAGUACCGAGAGAGAAAGCCCCGGCUAACUACGUG